UGUAUAUGUAUGUAUGUAUAUGUAUAUGUAUGUAUAUAUAUAUGUAUAUGUAUAUAUAUAUAUAUAUAUACAUAUAUACAUAUAUAUAUAUAUAUAUAUAUAUAUAUAUACAUAUAUAUAUGACGUCGCCACAGCAGAAGCCGCAGUAGAAGCAGGAGCCCCAGAGGAUACUAUUCUCGAUCGCGGUCUCAUUCCCCACAGUCAAGAAGCAGGACCAGGUACUGAAGGAUUUCUGACAAUGCUCAGUUGAGGUCGGCUGAAAUUGCCAAUAAGUUAUCCAUGGAGUGUCGUCACUCAGUUCAACAUGAUAGCCUUGGAUGACAAUCUGGUUUACAGUGCUUUGAUUGAUGCCUGUUAGUCUAGUGGUUGUAGAUGCAGAAUAAUUAGUUACUGUUUAGCUAGUUUCAGUACACCUGAAUUCCUGUUUUGGGUAAUUUUGCUGUGCUAUGUAGCUCAAGUCUUGGAAGUUUUACUUACACAUCAAUUUACAGGCUAAGUUAUUUA